rnacentral:rRNA from 1 species
UGGAUUAGUGGCGAACGGGUGAGUAACACGUGAGUAACCUGCCCCUGACUCUGGGAUAAGCGUUGGAAACGACGUCUAAUACUGGAUAUGAUCACUGGCCGCAUGGUCUGGUGGUGGAAAGAUUUUUUGGUUGGGGAUGGACUCGCGGCCUAUCAGCUUGUUGGUGAGGUAAUGGCUCACCAAGGCGACGACGGGUAGCCGGCCUGAGAGGGUGACCGGCCACACUGGGACUGAGACACGGCCCAGACUCCUACGGGAGGCAGCAGUGGGGAAUAUUGCACAAUGGGCGAAAGCCUGAUGCAGCAACGCCGCGUGAGGGAUGACGGCCUUCGGGUUGUAAACCUCUUUUAGUAGGGAAGAAGCGAAAGUGACGGUACCUGCAGAAAAAGCACCGGCUAACUACGUGCCAGCAGCCGCGGUAAUACGUAGGGUGCAAGCGUUGUCCGGAAUUAUUGGGCGUAAAGAGCUCGUAGGCGGUUUGUCGCGUCUGCUGUGAAAUCCCGAGGCUCAACCUCGGGCUUGCAGUGGGUACGGGCAGACUAGAGUGCGGUAGGGGAGAUUGGAAUUCCUGGUGUAGCGGUGGAAUGCGCAGAUAUCAGGAGGAACACCGAUGGCGAAGGCAGAUCUCUGGGCCGUAACUGACGCUGAGGAGCGAAAGCAUGGGGAGCGAACAGGAUUAGAUACCCUGGUAGUCCAUGCCGUAAACGUUGGGCGCUAGAUGUAGGGACCUUUCCACGGUUUCUGUGUCGUAGCUAACGCAUUAAGCGCCCCGCCUGGGGAGUACGGCCGCAAGGCUAAAACUCAAAGGAAUUGACGGGGGCCCGCACAAGCGGCGGAGCAUGCGGAUUAAUUCGAUGCAACGCGAAGAACCUUACCAAGGCUUGACAUACACCGGAAACGGCCAGAGAUGGUCGCCCCCUUGUGGUCGGUGUACAGGUGGUGCAUGGUUGUCGUCAGCUCGUGUCGUGAGAUGUUGGGUUAAGUCCCGCAACGAGCGCAACCCUCGUUCUAUGUUGCCAGCGGGUUAUGCCGGGGACUCAUAGGAGACUGCCGGGGUCAACUCGGAGGAAGGUGGGGAUGACGUCAAAUCAUCAUGCCCCUUAUGUCUUGGGCUUCACGCAUGCUACAAUGGCCGGUACAAAGGGCUGCGAUACCGUAAGGUGGAGCGAAUCCCAAAAAGCCGGUCUCAGUUCGGAUUGAGGUCUGCAACUCGACCUCAUGAAGUCGGAGUCGCUAGUAAUCGCAGAUCAGCAACGCUGCGGUGAAUACGUUCCCGGGCCUUGUACACACCGCCCGUCAAGUCAUGAAAGUCGGUAACACCCGAAGCCGGUG